UACGUAGGGCGCAAGCGUUGUCCGGAUUUACUGGGCGUAAAGAGCGCGCAGGCGGUCGGAUAAGUCGAAUGUGAAAGCCCCCGGCUCAACUGGGGAGGGUCAUUCGAUACUGUUCGACUCGAAGGCAGGAGAGGGAAGUGGAAUUCCCGGUGUAGUGGUGAAAUGCGUAGAUAUCGGGAGGAACACCAGUGGCGAAGGCGACUUCCUGGCCUGUUCUUGACGCUGAGGCGCGAAAGCUAGGGGAGCAAACGGG
rnacentral:rRNA from 1 species